CCCUAAGAAGUGCUUCACAGCACUGUAAUAUGCCAAAAGCAUACACAUGGCUACAGUUUGCAAAACAUUGCAGGGGAAAUAUAAAUGGAAAGCUCUUUUUCUUUUGCUUUAUUUAAAUGGGGUGUAAAUUUAACAAGUAAAAUAUUUUCUGAUCCUAGACAGAUCCUGUCAGCCUUGUGCAGUAGUGGGCAAAAUGCCCAAGCUAAUGCUGUGAUGCUGAAGCCUGUCCCCGGGCCCAGGCUGGUGGUGCUCUAUUGGCAGAGUGCGUUAGCUCAUCACUCUCCUCCCUCCCAGCAGAACAGCAGAUACUUGGCAGCACGGAACCUUCCUGGCCGAGUGCUGGUUCAUGGCCAAGGAAUAAUAACCCUCCUAAAUCAGGCAGGGAGGAGCACAUUAUCUGAUUGCUCAAGUAACCUUGAUCACUGCAAACCAACAAAAGGAGACUGGAAAAUAACUGUGUUAAUUUUCUACUUGAUGCCUCUAAUUUCUUAGUCUUUGACCAAGCAUAUAUGGCCCUAUCAUUACUCCAAGUCCUUUGUUGGUGAACUACUUUAUAAACAUAGUAUGAUACCUGGAACUAACAUUUGCAUAGUUCCAGUAAUUAUAUUGAUUUAAAUCAGUUGCAGUAUUUGAGAACGUUAUUCUCUACACUUGCUUAUCAAUGUAAGAAUUGUCUCACUUAUAAAUUCAUAGGAAUAUUGUCAUAUACAUUGGAAGUAAGUUGUCAGAAGAUGUUGAGUGUAUGAAAGACUGUGGUUAAAUUUAGCUUUGAUCAGAAUCAAGUCUCCAUCUAAUUAAUGUAAUGAUCUGUAUUACAUGAUAAUGCAUGUUAAUCUUUUGCAAAGACAAGGAAAUGUAAUAACAGUGUUUUUUCAAUUUCUGGAACUCCCAAUCUGAAUAUAAAAAAAUACUUUACAAAAUUUAGGCAUAGCAAUACCCUCAUGUAUUAAUGUCAUGACUGUUUAUAGAAAUGAAAGAAGAGGCACGUGAACGGACUAUUGCUAGGGUGGCUUUGCAUUCGAAGUAAGACUCUGAGAGAAAAGCUAAAUUACUUAUCUUAGAAAUAUUCUUCUUUAUUUUUUCCCCUGGUUUCCAUUGUAAUAUGUUUUUCCAACAAUUCAUUACGUUCUACUUUUUAUGGUGAGCUUUAAAAAAUAUUUUCAGAUUUGUUUACACUUGAAAUAAGUAUUUGUCCUCUGUUGUAGAAAAUCAUUUUCUGUAAAGAAAUACUGCUGUUUUCUUUCUGCUUUAAUGCCUUCUGUCUCUUUUUGACAUUUAUCUAAAAUGACUCCAGUGUGUCCUACAGAUUUAAGUCUGACAGUACGUGUGGAAGACAAUGGUCUCAGAGUAGUGUGGCUUCACUCCCAGUGGAGAAAUAGAAAGUGGUAGCAGUUUUGAAACAGCACAGUUAAACUGCAGAUGCCCGUAACCUCAGCCUGCUGAGAACAAGAGAACAGGGGAGCUACCCUGAAAAGGAUAAUUCUCUAUGAAA
ensembl:lncRNA